rnacentral:rRNA from 1 species
GAAUAUUGGACAAUGGGGGGAACCCUGAUCCAGCCAUGCCGCGUGUGUCAAGAAGGCCUUUUGGUUGUAAAGCACUUUAAGCGAGGAGGAGGCUACUCUAGUUAAUACCUAGAGAUAGUGGACGUUACUCGCAAACUAAGCCACGGGUACACCUGUGCCCGCAGCCGCGGUAAUACAGAGGGUGCAAGCGUUAAUCGGAUUUACUGGGCGUAAAGCGCGCGUAGGUGGCCAAUUAAGUCAAAUGUGAAAUCCCCGAGCUUAACUUGGGAAUUGCAUUCGAUACUGGUUGGCUAGAGUAUGGGAGAGGAUGGUAGAAUUCCAGGUGUAGCGGUGAAAUGCGUAGAGAUCUGGAGGAAUACCGAUAGCGAAGGCAGCCAUCUGGCCUAAUACUGACACUGAGGUGCGAAAGCAUGGGGAGCAAAC